rnacentral:piRNA from 2 species
UACCUGAAGAUGAAAGGGGACUACUACCGC